UGGGGAAUCUUGCGCAAUGCGCGAAAGCGUGACGCAGCAACGCCGCGUGAGGGAAGAAGGCCUUCGAGUUGUAAACCUCUUUCAGGAGGGACGAAGGUUCAGGCGCGAAUAGCGUCCUGGACUGACGGUACCUCCAGAAUAAGCCCCGGCUAACUUCGUGCCAGCAGCCGCGGUAAGACGAAGGGGGCAAGCGUUGUUCGGAAUUACUGGGCGUAAAGCGCGUGUAGGUGGUUGUCCGAGUCAGGCGUGAAAGCCUCGAGCUCAACUCGAGAAAUGCGCUUGAUACUGGGCGGCUAGAGGACCGGAGAGGAUAGUGGAAUUCCCAGUGUAGUGGUGAAAUACGUAGAGAUUGGGAAGAACACCAGUGGCGAAGGCGGCUAUCUGGACGGUUUCUGACACUAAGACGCGAAAGCGUGGGGAGCAAA
rnacentral:rRNA from 1 species